GACGAACGCUGGCGGCGUGCCUAAUACAUGCAAGUAGAACGCUGAAGAGAGGAGCUUGCUCUUCUUGGAUGAGUUGCGAACGGGUGAGUAACGCGUAGGUAACCUGCCUUGUAGCGGGGGAUAACUAUUGGAAACGAUAGCUAAUACCGCAUAACAAUGGGUGACACAUGUCAUUUAUUUGAAAGGGGCAAUUGCUCCACUACAAGAUGGACCUGCGUUGUAUUAGCUAGUAGGUGAGGUAACGGCUCACCUAGGCGACGAUACAUAGCCGACCUGAGAGGGUGAUCGGCCACACUGGGACUGAGACACGGCCCAGACUCCUACGGGAGGCAGCAGUAGGGAAUCUUCGGCAAUGGGGGCAACCCUGACCGAGCAACGCCGCGUGAGUGAAGAAGGUUUUCGGAUCGUAAAGCUCUGUUGUAAGUCAAGAACGAGUGUGAGAGUGGAAAGUUCACACUGUGACGGUAGCUUACCAGAAAGGGACGGCUAACUACGUGCCAGCAGCCGCGGUAAUACGUAGGUCCCGAGCGUUGUCCGGAUUUAUUGGGCGUAAAGCGAGCGCAGGCGGUUUGAUAAGUCUGAAGUUAAAGGCUGUGGCUCAACCACAGUUCGCUUUGGAAACUGUCAAACUUGAGUGCAGAAGGGGAGAGUGGAAUUCCAUGUGUAGCGGUGAAAUGCGUAGAUAUAUGGAGGAACACCGGUGGCGAAAGCGGCUCUCUGGUCUGUAACUGACGCUGAGGCUCGAAAGCGUGGGGAGCGAACAGG
rnacentral:rRNA from 1 species